CAUAGGAUUGCCAAUUGGGCAUUGACAAUCCGCUAAGGUUAGUAUGUGUUAUGUCAACUAAAGCGUGAGUAUGACUAGUCUCAAGUCAUUUGGUGUUGGACACUAAGACAAACACAUAGGUGCUUGAAAGAGUAAUCGAGUACACUAAACAACGAUCAAAAGAGAGUUCGAACAUACAUGUCAUGUAAGAACUCGUUAGUUGCAAUAUGCAAAGUAGUUCUUUGACCUGAGGCAUCAUAGAUGUCUAAUGGUUAGGUCCUUGAUCUUUGAUCAUGUCAAAGGCAUUCCAUCGAGAGUGUCCACGGCAUUGUUGGGGUCAAGCUAUGUAGUCAUGUAGGCAUAUGAAUGCACAACAAGGGAUCUCUAACCUUCCAUGGUGGAAGGAGAAUACUCUAAGAU
rnacentral:lncRNA from 1 species